GUCGGGUGUGUCACACCAUGCAAUACCCUUAUGGGAAAAGUGUGACGACGGACUAAUCGCCGUGUUUUCAACGCCCGGCGCCUUUAU
rnacentral:ncRNA from 1 species